AACCAGCACCUCAAGUGGUCAGGAUGAUUAUUGGGCCUAAAGCAUCCGUAGCCUGUUCUGUAAGUUUUCGGUUAAAUCCAUAAGCUCAACUUAUGCGCUGCCGAAAGUACUGCAGAACUAGGGAGUGGGAGAGGUAGACGGUACUCGGUAGGAAGGGGUAAAAUCCUUUGAUCUAUUGAUGACCACCUGUGGCGAAGGCGGUCUACCAGAACACGUUCGACGGUGAGGGAUGAAAGCUGGGGGAGCAAACCGG
rnacentral:rRNA from 1 species